rnacentral:rRNA from 1 species
UACGAAGGGGGGCUAGCGUUGUUCGGAAUUACUGGGCGUAAAGCGCACGUAGGCGGAUACUUAAGUCAGGGGUGAAAUCCCGGGGCUCAACCCCGGAACUGCCUUUGAUACUGGGUAUCUCGAGUCCGGAAGAGGUGAGUGGAAUUCCGAGUGUAGAGGUGAAAUUCGUAGAUAUUCGGAGGAACACCAGGUGGCGAAGGCGGCUCACUGGUCCGGUACUGACGCUGAGGUGCGAAAGCGUGGGGAGCGAACAGG